rnacentral:snRNA from 1 species
GGAUGUGAGGGUGAUUUGGCUGCGACAUCUGUCACCCCACUGAUCACCAGGGUUGAUUCGGCUGAUCUGGAUGGCUAGGUGGGUGACCCCUUCCUCCCUCACCGCUCCACUGAGCUCCACUGCAUGCACUCAGUCAGUUGAAGAGGACGGCCUUCCCCCAAUAGAGACCAACUGGUAGCUGCGCUCCCCUGCUAGAACCUCCAAACAAGCUCUCAAGAAUGCUAGCUUCUUGUAAUUAUCAGUUGAGCUUGCAUUCUUUUUAUGGAUGCUAGUUUAUUCCUGGGUUUACACUA